rnacentral:lncRNA from 1 species
GAGCUUUUAUUUAAAAUGCAAAAAUCAACAAAAUAUUCAUUAUCGCUCAACUUAGCAUAAUUAAACAUUUAGGUGUGAAAAUCAAAUUACAAUUUGAGUAGCUAAACUCAUUGCUUGAAAAUGUGAUAAGUAAGAAAAUUGCCCACAUUUGAGUAGCGACAGGUGGUGAUGCAUUUCCCAAUGAGAGAAAACCAAACUCUUCGCCAGUAUUGAUUUAUGUAGAGGACAACAAAAAUGGUCAACAACACAACUACAUAAGAAACCAAAAAGCUCACACAAAAAUCAUAAGUACCUAUCAAACCAUCUUCUCCUUUAUAUUCUGAUAGAGUUGAUAUCGUUGAUGGUGAAUCGGUUUUGGAACAACUUUUAUGCAAUAUAGCUCCACAAAGAAAAAGAUUUCCCUCAUAACUGUUUUCAAUAAAGGUCCCAAAUUGAGCUUUUGGUUCGGGAAUACUACCUGACAAGUUGUUGUAUGCCACGCUGAAAACCUCCAAAGAGUUCAACUCUACCAACUGAUUGGGGAUUUCACCACUCAAAUUGUUGUAAGAAAGGUCCAAACUCUCAAUUUGAUGAAGUUUUGCGAAUGAUGAGGGUAUAACUCCUGUCAACUUAUUAUGCGACAAGUUUAAAGAAUAGAUUUCACUUAAGUUCCCUAAUUCUGGUGGGAUAUGACCAGUUAAGUUGUUGCAAGAUAAAUCAAUCCCGGUCAUAUAUGUAAGGAUGUUUCCCUCAUACGAUAAGAACCCACUCUUUGUUGUGAACUCUAUUACUUCUUCUAAGUAGCCUUCAGGAUAGUAAUAAUUUCCGAGAGCUCCCAAUGUUUUCACUAAUCCGUCCCCUGUUAACCUUGGACUAAUUUUCGAAUCAGUUAGAAUCUUAUUUGUUUCCGUUGAAAGGGUUAAAUUUCCCAAACAAGAAGGUAUAAUACCAGAAAACAUAUUUUGAGAAAGAUCUAUGAUGUUUAAAGAAUCCAACUUGCAUAACUGAACUGGAACUUCACCAUGAAAAUGAUUAUCUUUCAAGAGAAGAACACUCAAUGAAGAAAGUGUGCCAAUCCAUUUUGGAAUACUACCAGUCAAAUUGUUUCCUCUAAGAUCUAACGUAACCAGUGAAGAGAUAUUAUAAAAAGCGAUUGGUAGUGGGCCACUUAGUCUACUCCCGUGCAGGUGGACAUGCUUUAUGUUUAGGGUAUUAAAGCAGGACGGUAUAGAGCCAAAUAAAUUGUUUUCAGAGAGAUCCAAAAAUUCCAAGCGAUUCAAGUUGCAAAAUUCCAUUGGAAUAGAACCCUCGAAACCAUUUUGGGACAAAGCUAAUCUCUUCAAAAAUGACACAUUCCCCAUCCAUCUUGGGAGGUUUCCAUAAAACUUGUUAUUUCCGAGAUUAAUUUCCCUUAGUGAAGUUGGAAACUCAGAAAUAGAGACAUCAACAUUUGCCAUCUCCCCAGAAAAAUUAUUUCCAUCCAAAUAUAAUUUUGACAGCCCAUUUGCAUUGAGAAUCACAGGAAGCACAUGUCCACUGAGGUUGUUGUUUGAUAGUCUCAAAAUGGUCAACGAGUUUUUUGUGAUUAACUCUUCAGGUACUCUUCCAGACAAUUGAUUGUCUGAUAAAUCUAAAAUCGAUAAAUCCUUCAUGCCACUCAAACAAGGAGGGAUAUCACCUUCGAAGGCAUUCUUGGAUAAGAAUAAGUGGCUCAAAUGUGGAAAAUGUGAACACACGUUGGUUGGAAUCUGACCUUGCAAUUUGUUUUGGGAUAUGUCAAUUAAAGACACUUUAGAGUUAGGAGCUGACGGUAAUGUGAGAGGACCGGUAAAUGAAUUACCCUUCAAGAUGAGAUCUUCUAACUUCGUGUUGUUUUCUAACAACCAAGUUGGGACUGUUCCGCUGAAAUUGUUAUGAGAAAGAUCCACAUAUCUCAAGUCAUAUUGGUAGUAAAGGAAGGUAGGAAGCUUACAACUGAGCUGUUGAGAUGUUAUGCACUUUGGCAAACUAAUGACUUCCAAUUGGAACUUUGGGAUUGAGGUAUAAAAGGAAGGUUCCGUUACCAUCUUGUUUUCAUUACUCAAGAGGGCUUUGAGGUUUGAAAGGUUUGCAAAUGGUGCGAAUGACAACGGAAUUUGAAAAUGGUUUCCUGAAAUAUAUAACCCACGAAGAGAUGUCAAGUUACUGAAACAAUGAGGAAGCAUCCCCUCAAGUGCAUUCCCACUCACAUCCAACACUUCAAGGUUCCUUAGAUCACACCAUCCUGAAAAAUUUAUAAAUUCAUUGAAGAAAUUUUAAUUAAAUUUGAUCCUAUUAAACAGAAUAGGAGAUAUUAUAUCCCAAAAGGCUCAUAAAGAAGUCAAUUUGACCCAUAAAUUUAUUUACCAUGAUUAGGUAAGGGACCGAUAAGUCCACAAUCAUAUAACGACAGAGUUUUAAGAGAACUGAGUACUCCAAUGCCUUGCAAAAUGUUGGUGUUGAGAGUAGAAUGGUCAAGAUAUAAUUCCUCCACAUUGCUCGACACAUUUAAUUCUAAAGGAUGAGAAGAGGUAUUAGAUGUUAAUCAAACGUAAUCUGUUUUGGAAAAGAAAAUCAUGUUCAGAUAAUGGUAUUGUAGAUAAAAGGUUUUAACUGAUGAGAAAGCCUCCACUAAAUUUUGUAAUGGAAUGCUUCCAUCGGUGAAAACGUGAUCAAGAGACACAACUUUCAAAUUUCUCGAUCCCUUAUUUUCAGUAAGUGAAAGAAAUAUAUAAAUAUUUGUUUUCAUCGAUAAGAUAAAAUUUUAAUAGAGAAUGUCCAAAUCUUAACAUAACUAUUCAUUCAUUUUAUUAAUUAAACUAAUCCUUUAAAUAUUCUUUUAAAAAUAAUUUUAUCUUGAUUCAUAUCAGAUUUAAAUAUAUGAGCACAUUCUUUUAAAAACUCAAAUAUGUUUGAAAUCAAUUUAGCAUUUAACCUUAAUGUUAGUAUUUGGUGCUGGUAAUAGAGUUUUUUAACUCUACAAGUGAAAUUUUAAUUAAAUGUUUCUUUUUUAAUAUUUUACUAUACUAUAUAAGAUAUUUGUUAUUAUCUCAAUCCUAUUUAUGAAGUUUAGAAUUUCAUUAAUAGUACCACCCCGAUUUUUUUAAAAAACCAGAUUUUAAAAAAAAAAAUUGAUAAAAGAAAAGAAUUUCAUUAAUAGUACCCAAUAUUUUCCCUUAAACUUAAUUUACUUUGUACUCGAUUAUAAAUCUUAAGAAAUAUUUUACAAUCUAAUAAAUAAUUUUUUGAUUAAAUUCACCAUAUUAAAUCAAAAUUGUCAAAAUACAUGCUUCUGAAUUUUAAAAUUUAUGAAUUCCGAAAAAGAAUUUCAGCUUAUCAAAUUCUCUAUUUAAAUUUCACCUACAUAGUUUUUUUUUUUUGGAAAUUCUUCAAAAUCUCAUUUAUUUAAAUCAAUGGUUCGAUUAUAAAAUAGAAAAUUUUAAACUAAAAAAAAUAUUAUUUUUAUUUAAAUCUAAUGUGCAUAUUUUUCUCUUUACAAUUUUUUUUUUCAAAAUUCAAGUCUAACUAUUUAUACGGUUGAAAUUAUUUUAUUAAAUCCAUGUUCAUUACGUCAUCUUUUAGUUACAUCGCUACCAAGUUCUUUUAUUUUAAAAUGUCAACACCAAUAAAUUAUUUUUUUUAAAAAUAACAAUGUUAACAAUUGAACUUGGAUUUUAAAAUUUAAAAAAUAGAGGGAUCAAAUUCCCGAAAAUAAAAAUACAAGAAUUAAAUUACAAAUUUGUAAAGAGUACAUAGACCUAUCACAUUUUUUAAACCAAAAAAUUAACAACAUGUGCAUUUUGAAAUUUAUAAAAAGUUUAAAAAAAAAGUUUAAGCACCUCAAAAUGUAUGUUUAAAUUUCAUAAAAUUGAAGUUUUUUUUAUAUUAUUCAAAAUUGACAUUUAUUUAUUUUUGGCCAAAAAAUGCCAUUUAUUUAACUCUAAUAUGUAUUUUUAUGUUUUAUACUAUUAAAAAUAUAUGAAAUUAAAAUAUAGUUAUAUUACAUAUUUUCCCAUAAAUAUAUGUAUUUUUACUUAUAAUAUCAUUUUUUAUUGUUAUAAUUAUUUUUUAUCUCAUGAAAAUUCAAUACAUUAUUUUAAAAAAUAUAUUUAUACAAACAAAAUAAUUAUAAACAUUAAUAUUUUAAAAUGAUGAAAAUUUUAAAGAAUUUUAGUUUCAAACCAAAGUCCAAACACAUUAUAAUGGAUGAUUUAGAAAAUGUUUCACCAAACCCAUAUUUUACUUUCAAGUAUGAUAUGAUAUAACUUUAUUAAUAUUUAUGACAAUAACCGUUAUUAUAAUAUUUGACAUCAAAACUAAAUUUCUAAAUUAAAAAAAAAAGGAAGUUUAAUUAAAUGAUACCUUGGUGGAUCACCAAAUCUUUCAAUUCAUUAUAGCUCAUAUCUAGUUUCCUUAAGUUGAUAAAUGCUUCCAAAUCUAGGAAAACAAAAACAACAAAUCAAUUUCAUUAUAUUCUCUUCAAACAUGAUUAUAUUCUUGUUAAAAAGACUAAUAUUUUUACCUUUCAUAUCUAUUGAUCCUUUCAAUUGAUUGAACCUUAUGCUCAACGAUUUCAAAUUUGAAAGCUUGUUAAGGGAUGCAAAUACACUAGUAUUGAAGAGAUUUCCAUCUAAAUUAAGCUCUUCCAAGUGGGUCAACUCCAAUUUUCUACCACCAUCUACAAAAGAUUUAUAUAAUUUCAUCACUGAAAUGAAUUGGCAUAAAAUUUAAUUAUAUGUAAGAAUUUAGGUAAUUGGUUAAAUAUAAAUGCAUACCUUUAAAGGAUUGAAAGCUUUCAAUUUGAUUCCCACUUAAAUCUAGUUUCUUCAAAUUUGUUAAAUUGCUCAAUCCUAUACAUAUCCACGUACAAUUUAAAAAAUCAUUAUGUUAAUAAUUUUAAUUUCUACUUAAUAUUUUAAUGAAAUAAAAAUGAAAAAAAAAGUAAAUCUAAAACUGGAAGUGAAGAUGAAAAUCCUCAAAAGUGAAAUGUGAAUGUUCAAAUUUGAAACAAUUAAUUUUAAAAGGUUCUAGAAAGAAUUAUCAAGAAAAACAAAGUUAUAGCUUUGGUACCUAUAGUAUCUAAUGAGCCUUGCAAAUGGUUGUUGUACAAAGUCAAAGACUUUAGGCUUGAAAGCCCUUGAGGAAAGGAAAUUGUGUUGUUCCGAAAGAGAUUACCACUCAAAUCAAGUUCCUCUAAGUUUGUUGGCCUCAAUUGUGAUCCAUCUAUCAUUGGAAGAAAAUAAUAUCAUUCAAGAUAUAAAAAGUUAGGAAAAAUGAUUGUUUGAGAAGGAAGAGCCAAUUUACAAGCUUUCCCAUGAAUUGAUAACUACAUUUUACAAGUAAAACUUAAUUGAUUCAAUAUAUAAAUACUUUGUUUGAGAUACCUUCCUACUUAAUUUACUCAAUUUUGAAAUUUAAUCCCAAAUAUUGAUUACUUAUAUAUAUUCAUGAUAUGAUAAAAUCAAAUGACUUAUUGCAACAACUUUUCCUUCAACAUGAAUUUAUUUUAAAGAAUGAUAUUCUUCAAAUAAUUCCAACUUAUAUCAAUAAUUUCCAAUUUAAUGAGCCACUGAAAACCUGAUUUAUAUAUUAUAUAAUUAGUUACUACAAAACAUAAAUAAAUAAUAAUGCUCCAUUUUUGCAAUAAAAAUUCACUAAAGAAAAUACAUUUGAAGUCUGUCAUUGCCUUUUGGAAUAAGAGUCGGUCAAGAAAGUUUUGUAGAAAUACUUAUACCUUUGUUUGAGAUGCUUUCAAUGUCAUUCCAACUUAAAUCCAAGUACUUCAAGUUUGUCAAAUUAUUCAAUCCUGAAAUUCAAUCCCAAAUAUUGAUUAGUUAUAUAUAUUCAUCGUAUGGUAAAAUCAAACUUGAGCAUACAUUGAUUUUUAAAGUUAAAAAGAAACAGGUAAAAUUAGUCUACCUUGAAUAUGAUCCAGCCUUCCUUUCAACUGAUUACCGCUCAAUCUUAAAGUCUUCAAGGAUGAAAGAUUUCUCAUAUGGAACAAAAUGCUAUUCUUAAAAGAAUUCCGACUUAAAUCGAGAGUUUCCAAGUUAUUGAGUCUUGAAAGCAAUUGAAAACCUGAUAUAUAUAUAUAUAUAUAUAAUUACUUGUUAAUAGUUUUUUUUUUCUUUCUUAGCUAUAAGAAAAUUUUACUAAAGCAAAAGUGGAAUUAGAACGGAUAAAAAGAAUGGAAAACUAGGUACCAAGCCUAGAAGACCAUCCUCAAACUCCACUAUACAAAUGACUUAUUGUAACAACAUUUCCUUCAACAUGAAUUUAUUUUAAAGAAUGCUAUUCUUCAAACAAAUCCAACUUAUAUCAAUAAUUUCCAAUUUAAUGAGCCACUGAAAACCUGAUUUAUAUAUUAUAUGAUUAGUUACCACAAAACAUAAAUAAAUAAUAAUACUCCAUUUUUGCAAUAAAAAUUCACUAAAGAAACAUAUUGAAUAUAAAUAAUAAUACUCCAUUUUCCAAUUUAACAUAUUGCAACAUUAAUUUUCCCUUAAACAAAAUUUGGUUUUAAAGUAAAAAAGAAACAUAUAAAACCAGUCUACCUUGAAUAUGAAUUGACGUAUAAGUACUAUACUUAUACCUUGGUUUGAGAUGCUUUCAAUGUUGUUCCAACUUAAAUCCAAGUACUUCAAGUUUGUCAAAUUAUUCAAUCCUGAAAUUCAAUCCCAAAUAUUGAUUAGCUAUAUAUAUUCAUCGUAUGAUAAAAUCAAACUUGAACAUACAUUGAUUUUUAAAGUUAAAAAGAAACAGGCAAAAUCAGUCUACCGUGAAUAUGAUCCAGCCUUCCUUUCAACUGAUUAGCGCUCAAUCUUAAAGUCUUCAAGGAUGAAAUAUUUCUCAUAUGGAACAGAAUGGUAUUCUUCAAAGAAUUCCCACUUAAAUCAAGAGUUUCCAAGUUAUUGAGUCUUGAAAGCAAUUGAAAACCUGAUAUAUAUAUAUAUGUAUAUAUAAUUACUUGCUAAUUGUUUUCUUCUUUCUUCGCUAUAUGAAAAUUUUACUAAAGCAAAAGUGGAAUUACAACGAAUAAAAAGAACGGAAAACUUGGUACCAAGCCUAGAAGACCAUCCUCAAACUCCACUAUACAAAUAAAAACUAACACCAGACCAAACUUAAUUUACCUCUUAGAUGACUUGAUCCUUCAAAUUUGUUGAUUGAUAGAUCUAAAUACCGGAGAGAUGAAAGCUCACUCAAAGAUAACAAAAUGCUAUCAUUCAAGUAAUUUUCACUUAAGUUAAGGAUCUCCAAAUUACUCAAUGUGGAUGAUAGUUUUCCAAAGCCUGUAGAAGUGUUCUUUUAAAUAUAUACAAGUUAGUGACAUUUCUUUAAUAAAAUAAAAUAAAAUAUAAGUAAUUGUAAAUUAACAAUGGUGAGAAUAGUAGAAUAGUAAAAGAUGUAAUUAAGGAAAAAUUAAAGGCACGACCUUCAUUUUCAAGGCUACCACCUAUGACAUUUCCCGACAAAUAAAGUCUCUUCAAUUCCUCAAAAGGAAGAAACAUAGAGGCAUUGAGAUACCAAGCAUUGAGAUUCCUAUUAUCCAUGACGUAUUCCAUAUUGUCUUCCCAUUUUGUAGAAUUAAGGGAGAGUUGUAUGAGUCUCCUAGUGGUGGUGUUACACUCAACUCUUUCCCAUUUACAACAAUCUGAGCCCUUCACCUCAACCCAACUUUGCAAUUGAUUACGAUAAUUGAAGAAAGGCUUGAGAUGCAAGAGAGCGAUUCUCUCAUGCUCCAAACAAGCAUCAGUAGUACACCAACUGCAUCUUUCUAACACCAACAACAUUACUGCCAUCCUAAUAAACCAUAAGUACCAUUUCCACUCCAUCAUCAUCAUCAUCUUUCUGUUUUCACUUCUCUCUCAGCUAUAUGUUACUUUUUGUUAACUUCUAUAUGUAUAUAAUCUAAAGAAGCCUAAGCUUCUUAUUUAUAUACAAGCAGAACAUUUUGCAUCCCACUUAUUCACUAUAAUAUAAAAAUAAUAUAUAAUUAAUUAAUUCCUCAAAAAUUGGAUCAAUCUAGGCUUCUUAUUUACGUAAAUUCCUUAUUGCAAAAACUCUUGGUAGAAAUUCGUUAGGAAAGGAUGAAUGGACCACAAGAAUGCUUAUCAACUCUUGACUUUGGCGUCCAAUGCUAAAUUUAUUUUAAAAUUUCUUCAUGGAGACAAGAUGGGAUGACAAGAAUGAUAAGUUUUAAGUCAUUUAAGUUUACACAAUUUUAAUCACUCAUAAAAACAAGUAUUGACAUUCUAUUAAAGAAUUUAAACAUGGCUUAACGUUGAUUUUAAAUCUAAUGUUGAUGUUAAUCUUGAAAAAAGAAUGGCCAAAAAAAAUAUGAAAAGUGAGAGGUGGACAUAAAAUAGUGUAGUUGGGGUUAUAAAAUUCUUCAUGUAGACAUAAUAUUUUUUUAUGCCUUUUUUACACUUAUAUAGAGUUAGUCUUGACUUCGCUUUAUUAAUAGAAAUUUUAGGUCUUCAUUUUUUGUUUUAUUCAUGGACAUAAUAUUUUCUUAUUUUUAUUUUAUGGUCUAUGAUCGAGGUUUAUGACUAUCCGCUUUCAACAACGUCGUCUCAACUGUUCAAACAUACACUUGCAGGUAAAAUAAUACUUUUUAAAAUCACAAAUAUUUAAAAUAAUACAUUGCAGCUAUAUAAAUGCUUUCUUGUUUAAGAUACUAAUAAAGUAAUUAACAAAGUAAUUAUUAUACCUAUAAUAAUUCAAAAUGCCACUUGUUAUCUAAUGAAGUAUAGGGGUGCAAAUGAGACAUCCGUACCCGCAAGCUAUUCGAAUUUGGCUCAAAAAAUUUUGAAAUUGAUUCGGUAAUUAUUGAGCCGAGCUAUAGGUCGAUCCGGAUUCGAGCUUAGUAAUACUUGACUCGAGUAGUUUGAGACCCUUAUUGAACUUUUUAUAUUUUUAUAUUUUUAGAUUACAUUAUUGCUAUUAAUAUAUAUUAUUAAUCCUAAGUUUAAUUAUUGAGGCGAGCUCAAACUCGAGUACAAAAAUUGAUAAACAUAUUUAAUUUCGAGCUUAAAAAUAUAUGUUCAAUCGAGCAUCAAGCUUUGAAUUUCAAAUUAAACUUGAGUUUAACAGUAUUGAGUUCAAAUAGAUUCAAUUACACCCUACAAUAAAAUAUACCAACAAAACCUACAUUUCAUCUUUGCUAUAAAUUUUAUGUGUGUGUGUGUUUAACGUGAGUUCCAUCUAUGUCCAACUUGAUGACGAUGAAAGUUCCUAUGGUGUAAAAAGUUUUAGUUAUGUGGAAAAAUAAGGUCUUCUCUUCACACGUUUAAUAUGCUUACUUGUGUCCGUCAUUUCGAGCUUCACAUCAAUUUUCAAAAAGUUGGAAAACUUAUGUCUGCUUUUAUGAUUCUUUUAUGUGUGUGUUUAACGUGACUUCCUUGUGAGUUCCAUCUAUGUCCAACUUGAUGACAAUGAAAGUUCCUAUGGUGUAAAAAGUUUUAGUUAUGUGGAAAAUUGGUGGAAAACUUACGUCUUUUCACUUGCUUUUAUGAUUCUUUUUACAUGAUAUUACUAUAUAAUUAAAUUGAAAUACUGAUAAAUUUGAACCCAUAUGAUGUAAGUCUAGGCAACAUCUAAUUUAUUGAUAUUUAAUUAAUUAAUAUAUAUACUUUCAAUUAUAAGAAUUGAAACAUAACUUUCAAGUCAAGUGGAGUAUGCCCCUGUUACACGUCAAAAGAAGUAGAUUUUGAACUCAACAUGAAUCUGUGAGAUUUGAUGCCUAAAAUAUAGGUAUAAGGUUUCAAUUCAUGGAAAUGUUGGAAGUCUUGGAAAUUUCUUAGUCUCCUCUCUUUGGAUGUUUUUGAACAAAAAUGUUUUAAGUCUCUUCCGAUGCUAAACUUCUGAUUGGUCGUCGGUUCACUGACCCUUUGGUACACAGCAAUAUGAAGCAUUGGCCAUUCAAGGCCAUUGCUGGUCCUGGUGAUAAGCCAAUGAUUGUACUACUAUAGAUUUGAAUAUUUGUACACAUUUGAUCGGCUCUUCGUAAAUUUAAAUCUUACAAAUUCGGAUAAUAUUUGAACUUUGAAUGUAUGUUUUGUUGGUGAGAAUAUAAAGUUGAUAAAGAUUUGGUAAAUAGAGUAAAAUACUAUUUUUAUUAGAAAAAUUAUUUGGUACACUGCCAAUCGAGGUAAUUAAAACAUGUCAUAUUAUAAAUAAUAAAAUUAUGAUGACUCAAAUAUACGAACAUGUCAAAAUUUAUGUACAAUGAAUUAUUAACAUGUAAAUGUAUAAUACGGUACGCAAAAAUAAGAUAAUUGCUUGUUUUUUUAAUUGAAUUGUUAUAACAUAUUAUACAAAAUACAUUGUGAAUUAAAGCAUAAAAUGAACUUGAUAUCAAAAUAUUAAAUUUUUUUAAAAUUCAAUGAUACGAAUAAUUAUGUAAAAUAUAACAUGAUGCAAAAUAUCUUGAGAGGAAAAGAGGAAUAAAGAAUUGCAUUAUUUGUGAGGUUUUAAAAUAUUCCAGUUUUAGAUUCAAUUUUCUAGUAUGUUUGGUUUAAUUUUACAUUAGAUUUCCUUUUCAGUAUGCACUAGUGAACGCUCAGUCAGUUUAAUUUAAUUCAAAGAGAUAUUGCAUAUACAUAAUAAUGGAUUAUGAUUUUACAUUAAAUUUCAUAGAAGAAAAAGAAAUAGAUGGUUGAAAAUGAUAAAACCAUAAGAUAAAAGAGCUUUUAUUCAAAAUGCAAAAAUCAACAAAAUAUUCAUUAUCGCUCAACUUAGCAUAAUUAAACAUUUAGGUGUGGAAACAAGUCACAAUUUGAGUAGCUAAACACAUUGCUUGAAAAUGUGAUAAGUAAGAAAAUUGCCCACAUUUGAGUAGCGACAUGUGGUGAAGCAUUUCCCAACGAGAGAAAACUAAGCUCUUCACCAGUAUGGAUUUAUGUAGAGGACAACAAAAAUUGUCAACAACACAACUACAUAAGAAACCAAAAAGCUCACAAAAAAAUCAUAAGUAUCUAUCAAACCAUCUUCUCCUUUAUCUUCUGAUACAAUUGAUAUCGCUGAUGGUGAAUCGGUUUUGGAACAACUUUUAUGCAAUAUAUCUCCACAACGAAAAGGAUUUCCCUCGUAACUGUUUUCAAUAAAGGUCCCAAAUUGAGCUUUUGGUUCGGGAAUACUACCUGACAAGUUGUUAUAUGCCACGCUGAAAACCUCCAAAGAGUUCAACUCUACCAAUUGAUUGGGGAUUUCACCACACUCAAGUUGUUGUAAGAAAGGUCCAAACUCUCAAUGUGCUGAAGUUUUGAGAAUGAUGAGGGUGUAACUCCGGUCAACUUAUUGUGUGACAAGUUUAAAGAAUGGAUUUCACUCAAGUUCCCUAAUUUUGGUGGGAUAUGACCAGUUAAGUUUUUGCAAGAUAAAUCAAUCCCAGUCAUAUAUGAAAGGAUGUUGCUCUUGUACGAAUAGAACCCACUCUUUGUUGUGAACUCUAUUACUUCUUCUAAGUAGCUGUCAGGGUUGUAAGGAUUUAUACCCCUUUCCCAUUUUCUCAUCACAAUGGAUGUUGAUUCAUCCUUUUCUAUAAAUGGAAGAUAGAACCCAGUUGCUAGACUCUCUUUCUCUUUCAGUGGAAGAGAUAAAUUUCCCAAACAAGAAGGUAUAGGACCAAAAAACAUAUUUUGAGAAAGAUCUAUGAUGCUUAAAGAAUGCAACUUGCAUAACUCAAUAGGAACUUUACCAUGAAAAUGAUUAUAUUUUAGGAGAAGAACACUCAAAGAAGAAAGCGUGUAAAUCCAUUUUGGAAUACUACCUGUCAAAUUGUUUCCUCUAAGAUCUAAAGUCACUAUUGAAGAGUUAUUAUAAAAAGCAAGUGAUAGUGUGCCUCUCAGUCUAUUCCCGUGGAGGUGGACAUGCUCUAUGUAUGGUGGAUUAAAAUAUGACGGUAUAGAGCCAGAUAAAUUAUUUUGAGAAAGAUCCAAAAAUUCCAACCUGUUCAACUUUCAAAAUUCCAUUGGAAUAGAACCUUCAAAACCAUUGUUGGACAAAUUUAAUCUCCACAAAAAUGAUGCAUUCCCUAUCCAUAUUGGGAGCUUUCCAUGCAACUUGUUACUGUGAUCAAUUUCGCUUAGUGAAUUUGGAAACUCAAAAAGAAAUGUUCACACAAAGUUUUUUCCAACAUAUGUCUGUCAUUUGUGGGGUCUUGAAUUUAACAUCAAUGGUUGAAUUUUCAUAGCUAAUAUGUACGCAAAAGGCUUAGUUGGUGGAAUUUUAUGUCAGGAAAGCGUUUCUACAAUGACAUAAUUAAUUGCAUUACUUUUCAAAGAUUGACUAUUGACUUUGGUGAGCUUAUUAGGUUAAAUUCUGCUGUUGGUCACUGUUCUUUGUGAAAGUUGUAAAUUUAGUCUAUUUACUUCAAUUUGAUCAAUUUUAAUCCCUAUACAUUUUGAAUUUUAAAAUUUUAGUUGUGACCCAAACAAUAAAGUUAAAUCAAUUUAAUUAAAACCAAUUACUAGUCUUAUAUUAUGCGUACAAUUGUUGAUUUAGUCCAUACUCUCCAAUUGGAUUAUUAUAAGUACCUAUAUUUUUCAAAUUUUGAAAUUUCAGUUUUGAUGCAAAUGACAAUUCUUAGUCCGUUAACUAGAUUUUUAGUAACAUAUGGAAAUAAUAAGAUGAUAUGACAUUACACAUAUGAUAAUAUAUUUGCGUUAAAUAUAUAAACAAUGACAUAAUUAAUUGCAUUAACUUUUAGACGCUGACUAUUGACUUUUGCGUCAACCUUGAGCUUAUAUAGCCCCUACAAUAAUUUAGGUUAUGGAAAUAAUCUUACAAUUAAUGCCUGAGAAAUUAUUAUAGAUCAAUUUAUAGUUUUAAUCCCUAUAAUUACUCAAUUGAAUUAAAGAUUCUGAUUUUCUUAUUUAAUUUGAUAUAUUUUGUUCUCUUAUUAAUGUUAAUGUUAUGGAUUAGUUUUUUUUAAGACAACAUUAUUUUAUUCAAUGAAUAAUACCAUACAAUUCGGGGGGAAAAUAACAAACACUCGUUGUACUCGUUAAAGGACAAGUUCCAUCAACACAACAAAACCUUAAGCUUCAACAUUAAUAGAACAUUAUGGCAUGUUAAAAUUGGCUCUGUCACAACUCAAGCACAACAUAUCAGGAGUUAUUACAAGCACUUAAUAUGGUAAGAAAAUCAACCCCGGAUGGUCCAAAGCGGCGGGCAUAAAUCAGCAAAAGAACUGAGCAUCCACCAAACUAGAGGGGAUGCGGUGACAAAACCAACCCUAAAAUUACUCUCAAAAGCAAGACUAAAAAGCGUACUACAAGAGUAGACAAAAACUUCUAAAAGUAAAGACUUAUUAAACAAUGGAAAAAUAAACAAAAAAAACAUAUAAAACUUAAGAUAACAUGAGUCUAAACCGAGUCAUGAAAUCAUUUAUUAUUUUGAAACUCUCAAAACAUAAACAAAUUAAGAAGUCAACGAAGAGGUACCCACUUUCUAAAAGAAAGUGUUGGUGGUCGGUGGUGUUUCAAUGAUGAUAGGCAUUGUCACCUGUCCAUCACAACUUGUAAAGACAACAAAAAUACCCACAAAAUAAAUCUGUAAAUUGAAAAGAACGAAGACUCAUGGAGUGAAUGAGAAGAAGAAAAAUAAAAAGGGUUAAUAGAGAAAAAGCAGGGCGGUAACUAGUCCAGAGGCUAACACCGCUGCUAGGCUAAAAAAAAAAAGAAGCAAACAUGUUAUGGAUUAGUUAAAAUAACUAACAUCAUUGAAAAUUUCAUUACUUGGCUGAUUUGGAUUUUUUUUUUAAAAAAAAUUGAAACUAGAAACCAUAAAUGAUCUAACAUUUAGAAACCAUAAAUUGGGUUCAAUUGCUUUGCUGUCCAACUCCAUCCAUCUAAAAUCGCAAGGAUGUACCCAUGUUCAAUAUGCAGUACAGACCCAAAAAUUGACCAUAUAAUGUGGCUCAAGAGAAUUUUUGAAUGGUUUUAAAGAAUUAUGAGAACACAAUGAAUUAAGUUAAGGCAUCAUUUAUUCAGCUUGCUAUAAUGCAGGUCAUUCCAAUAAAGAAGCAUUUUUUAACUAUAUUUUCCGUUACCCCAAUAACAAUGGCACAGUAUGUUCUCCGAUGAACAUAGAACUCACCAUUUUUAGGAACACGUGUAGUUGAGGAUGAGAAUUCGGAUCAACUGUAACUUCAAAUGGUGGAAUGAAAACAUUGUCCCGAAUAUUCUGAAAAGAUUUUACAAUUCCCAUUUGCUUGUACACAUUAUACAAUCGUGGUGACUGCAGAAUUAAGUCAAAAUCAAGUGAAGAAGGUUACCUUUGACUUGAGAAAUAUAUCACAGAGAGAGAGAAAGAGAAAACAGUAAUCUGGAAAGAUGAUGCUUAAUAUGGACAUGAUACCCUAGAAACCGAUCGAUCUUAAAUUUUAAUUUCUAAAAUAUUAUUAGCUUGUGCAUACUUUCAAAUACUUUUCAUUAGAGUUACCAUAAGACUAAUUUUUCCAAUUUUAGAUGAUUCAAGAAACUAUUUGGGGGCAAUUCUUAAAUAAACAUGUCCAAACAGUAGUCAUUAACAAGAAAGCAUCCAAGAAAACCAGCAGUUAAUACUUAAAUUAACAUUAUCAAAUGGAGAUGUAAAGAAGAAAGAAUCCUACUGCAAAGCUAGAUAGCAGGAGAAUCACUAGAAUGAAGAGAAAUACUAUUGGCACUAUACCUGGAUUAACCAAACAGUAGUCUCACUAUAAAUUUCAUUGUUAAUAAACCAACUGGCCAAACUGGUCCCAUUCACUUUGUUUCCUUCCAUAUAUGGACACCCUGUACUCUGCCAUCUAGAAAAUAUAUAUAUUAUUCAGUGUAGUCAGAGGCGCAAGGAGCACUCUAGAACGUGCUAGAAUCCUUUUAUUGUACAAGGCACAUGGCGCACAAAAAAAAAAAAAAACUUGCUUAUGUUAAGGCACAUGUAUGCGUGUUUUGGUAUGUCCAUGUCUGUAUAUAUAUAAGCCGAAGAUAUAUAAUUAUAAUAAUAAACUAUAAAAGUGCUCCAGUCUGAAGUACAGAACAUGCCAAAUUUUCUUUCUUUUGUCAACCAUACCAUGCCUGGUGUUGAAUACUCAAAUAUUGAGAAGUAGAGAGUUCGAUAUUAUCCCUUUGUUACAAUUAAGAAACAAUUAAAGAGAUAGUAAAGAGAACUUCAAUUAGAAGGUCUUUUCCCCCAACAUGCACCAGGCAGGCGCUUAGCCUGAAAAGGUCAGAGGCCCUUUUACUGUCUGGUGAUAAGGCAAAAAACAUUGGACAAAGUUGGUGGGAGGAUAGAAUACUAAAAGAGCCCAAUGUUGUCACUUUUCUAAAGUAAGCUCAUAUGCUUUUUUUGUACCCAAACAAUAUCUUACCCUUUAAUUUGUACCUAAAGAAAUUAUUUCUAAUAGAAAGUUUACUUUUGUUAUGAUCAAUGUCGGAGGCCAAAACUGAUUUGGGUCAAUUAGCCGAAACAAUAACAACAAUUCCUAGGCUUCAAUAAAAUAAUUUAGACAACAAAUAAAGCUUUAAGGUUGAGUUUUGCACUGCAGCAGCAUUGGGUUUUACAACGUGAAAACCCACAUUGCAAACAAAUACCAAAGUUUCAGAUCUAUCAUAAUUUAAAAUUCUAACUAAACUAAACGCCAAGAAUGCUGAAUGCCUAAACAAAAAACAUAAGAUUAACCCAAGGACCUAAUUGGGUAUGCUAAAAUUUGUCUUGGAAUGAAAUUAAUAAUAUCCUUUCUAUUUCACUUUUUUUUUUCUUCAUAUGUUUGGUGUGAGCAUGAUACAGAUUAGACUGAUUUUAAAGUAAAAGUAAAACGAUACCAAACCUAAAUAUUCUGGUUUUUUAAAUUUUUUUAUCAGAGCCCUAUUUGAUGCAUUUUUAGUUUUGUUUUCUAAUAACAAAUGGAAAGUUAAUUUAAAAAAAAAACCUAAUCCAAUGAGUUCUUUUAUAGAUAUAAGAUAAGUCCUGCAAAGUUUUUGUUUUUUAGAAAUAAAAUUUUGUUUUUGUUUUUUACUUCUUCAUACCUAUUUUAAUAUCUAAGUUCCGGAUUCCUAACUGCCCUUUCAAUAAUAUAGUAUUCAAGAUUUGAACUUAUAUUUUUCUAUAAAAAUAUAAUGUAUUUUAUUAUUGUAUCCUACAUUCAUUAAUACUUAGUAGAAAUAACCUAAUAAAAUGAUUUUUUUCAUAUAUUAAUAGAGAUAAGAUUCGUGCAAAAUUGUUGGUUGAAAAUUCAUUAGGAAAGGAUGAUUGUAUGAAUGUACCAUCAUUAUAAGUGAGCUCAACGAUAAGCCUCCUAUCAAUCACCAGUGUGCAGAAAACAUUUGAAAUCGAAACACCCUUUCAUACAUCAUACAUCAUCAUAAGUGCGCUCAACGAUAAGCCUCCAAUCAAUCACCAGUCUACAGAAAACAUUUGAAAUCGAAACACCCCGGACAUCUCCAACAAAUCUGCCAUAACGUUAGCAUCUCUUCCAUUUUUUCUAAACAAAACCUCACUAAGCUCAUCAAAUGUGCCAAUAUUUCCAAGGCCUAGAUUUCUCAUUGAUACACCAAGAAAGCUCGACUAUGGAGUCGGAUUCAACCAUAAGCUUUCAGUCUAUAAUCCACUAGGAAUCCAAAAAGAAACACUCUCGAACACCUAAAGAACCUGAAACAUAGCAAUGACAUGACCCUUUGAAUUUCUAAGAACCUCACCUCACCACGUCGAGCUAAGAUUACCUAAUGUCUAACCUUCACGGUUAAACUUUUACCAGCCUUCACCUUACUCUUGAUAUGAUGACUAUGGAUACUCCCUUCACAAUCCCACAAACACUCCCACCAAAUUGACUCAACAAAAUUUGCACCUAUAGGUUUUCUGUUUAUAUUUGAUUUUGUUGACACAUUGCCUAAAACUACUCAUGAUCCCUCUCCAACCUAUAAAUACGAGGAUAAUGCGCUUCAACGCGCUCAAACCCACGUCCUCCUGCAUUAGCAACAAUACUCAUGUCAAUCGAGUUAAAACACAAUCAAUAGAUUUUUUUAAAAAAAAAAUCUUUAAAUGUUAUAUUAUUAUAUAAGAAAUUGAAACAUGACUUCCGUAGGUUUUAAAUCUAAUGUUGACACUAAUCUUGAAUAAGUCAUUCCACUCCCAUCUUAACUAAUGGCCAAAGAGAUAUCAAAAGUGGGAGAUGGCCAUAAAAUUGUGUAGUUUGGGUUAUAAAAUUUUUGGGCAAACUACAUAUAUUAUCAUUUAAUUAUAAUUUUUUUUUCAAUUUAAACACUUAAAGUAAAAAAUUUGUAAUUUAAGCACCCACAUUAUAUAGUUUAGUUAUUUUGAUCACUCCAGUUAAAAUAAAAAAUGGCAAACUGAAGCGACAGUUAAAAAAAUUGUAUAAUAACAAAUUUAACCCUCAAAUUUUAUAUAUUAUAUCAAUUACAUAUUACAACUAAUUUUAUAAUUAUUGAUAUUGAAUAUGUCCCUCACUACGCUAGGGAUUUUUUUUUAUAAUUUGUAUUUAAUUAAUAUUUAAAAUUAAUUUCAAAAUAUUUGAAAAUUUUAUAAUUAUUUGGUGUUAGUCCCUUUAUUAUACCCAAAUUUAGGAUUAAGCCCCUAUACUUUAAUUUUGACAUAAUUUGUUUCUUUCACUUUUAUAAUCUCAUUAAUUAUUUCAAGUAACUAACACUUUUAACAAUAUUGCCAAAUAAAAUAAUGUCAUAUUUUUUUUUCUUAAAGCCAUCACUUCUAACUAAAUCAUGACUUAAUCACUUUCUAAUUAAUCAUACUAACUUAGAUUUUUCUUUUGUUGGAAUCAGUACGUUUAAGGAAAACCCACCUUAACAUUUGUAGAUGUCUUCAACAAUUUCCUAAGCACGAUACAAUAAAGCUUGGUGUGUAUAAUUUUGUUUUAUGGAAGCUCCAAAUUAUGUUGAUUCUUGAAUGAUACGGUCUGCAUGGGUUUGUUUUGGGUGCUAUUAGUGUACUAGCACAGUUUGUAGAGGAUAAAUAUGGGAGAUUAGUAGAAAAUUCUGAUUAUGUUUUACAUGUGCAACAAGAUAAGCUAUUGGCUUCUUGGUUACUUUCAACUGUUAGUGAUGAAAUCCUAGCCUAUCUUACUAGUGCUCGUACUAGUUAUUAUAUGUGGGAAACUAUUGAAAAGAAGGGUUGCGACUAAGUCCACGGUAAAAUUGUCCAGUCAUGUGUUGUAUUCACAGAAAAAGGGUCAUUUGUUUGUUAAAGAAUAUUUGUCUAAGAUCAAGUCCAUGUGUGAUAUGUUGGUUGCAACGGGUUGUUUGAUUUCAAAUCAAGAAAUGGUUAGCAUCAUUCUUGCAAGGUUGCCAGUUGAGUGUGAAUCAGUAUGGGUAGUAGCUUCAGCUACUGGUGUGUCACUUGAUCUGUUGAUUGAGAUGCUGCUUGAUUGUGAAGCUCGAAAAUUAAGUUCUUGAAUAGUGUUCUCGUACAACCUAACAUAGCUAGUAAACAAGAUUGUGAUGAGGGUGAUCGGACCAAGGGUUCUGAUUAUAACAGUGGCUAUCAAGGGAACAAACAGACAUAUAUAGGUGGUUUUCAAUGCAAUAGAGGUUUCCAUCGAGGUUGAGGCCGUGAGGGUUGUUUUUCAAACAAUCGGCCCCAAUGCCAGUUGUGUGGUAAAAUUGGACACAUUGUCCAAAAGUGUUAUUACCGUUUUGAUGAAAGUUUUGCAGGUAUUGCUAGGAUGGUAAUAUGGUAUAGUGGGCUGCAUCUUGAUUGUUUGUUUCUCAUGCUGAGGCUAUAUUUUAAUCAUACCUAUUAUUGUUUCUUGUGUCCAGCUAUUUCAUCAUUUGCAGGCUGUUUCACUAAUCGCAUCCUAUUUACAAGUUCCCUUGUGUUAUCCUCUGCGCUUGGGUGGUUCUCGCUCAUAUAUUAAUGACCAUGCGUCUUCAAUAGACCAUGCAUCUUCUGAUUUGUCAUUGUAUACAACACUUUCAGCAAAUGUAAAGCCGGUAGAAUUUCCGCUGUUUUUAGAAGGUCAAGACACGACAAGAGCAGCAUAUGCUGUGUUCUUGUUAAACAAGGUAAGCUUUUGCAUAUUAGUAAUUUUUUUUUCCAAGAUGAAUUAUUCUCCUUUGGCAUUUUAUAUUAUAUAAUUAGUCACUACAAAACAUAAAUAAAUAAUAAUACUCCAUUUUUACAAUAAAAAUUCACUAAAGAAAAUACAUUUGAAGUCUGUCAUUGCUUUUUCGAAUAAGAGUCGGUCAAGAAAGUUAUGCGCAAAUACUUAUAUCUUUAUUUCAGAUGCUUUCAAUUCUAUUGUCACUUAAAUCCAAGUACUUUAAAUUUGUCAAAUUAUUCAAUUUUGAAAUUCAAUCCCAAAUAUUGAUCAAUUAUAUAUAUUCAUGAUAUGAUAAAAGCAAAGACAUCUUGCAACAUUAACUUUCCCUUAAACAAAAAUUGGUUUUAAAGUAAAAAAGAAACAUAUAAAACCAGUCUACCUUUAAUAUGAAUCAAUAUAUAAACACUAUACUUAUACCUUGGUUUGAGAUGCUUUCAAUAUUGUUGUCGCUUAAAUACAAGUAUUUCAAGUUUGUCAAAUCAUUCAAUCCCAAAUAUUGAUUAGUUAUAUAUGAUAUGAUAAAAUCAAACUUGAACAUGCAUUGAUUUUUAAAGUUGAAAAUUACUUGUUAAUUUUUUUUCUUUCUUACCUAUAAGAAAAUUUUACUAAAGUAAAAAUGGAAUUACAACGGAUAAAAAGAAUGGAAAACUAGGUACCAGGCCUAGAAGACCAUCCUCAAACUCCACUAUACAAAUAAAAACUAACACCAGACCAAACUUAAUUUACCUCUUAGAUGACUUGAUCCUUCAAAUUGGUUGUAUGAUAGAUCUAAAUACCGGAGAGAUGAAAGCUCACUCAAAGAUAACAAAAUGCUAUCAUUCAAGUAAUUGUAACUUAAGUCAAGGAUCUCCAAAUUACUCAAUGUGAAUGAUAGUUUUCCAAAGCCUGUAGAAGUGUUCUUUUAAAUAUAUACAAGCAGUUAGUGACUUUUCUUCAAUAAAAUAAAAUAUAAGUAAUUGUAAAUUAACAAUGAUGAGAAUAGUGGAAUAGUAAAAGAUGUAAUUAAGGAAAAAAAUAAAGGCACGACCUUCAUUUUCAAGGUUACCACCUAUGGCAUUUCCCGACAAAUAAAGUCUCUUCAAUUCCUCAAAAGGAAGAAACAUAGAGGCAUUGAGAUACCAGGCAAUGAGAUUCCUAUUAUCCAUGCUGUAUUCCCUAUUGUCUUCCCAUUUUGUAGAAAUAAGGGAGAGUUGUAUGAGUCUCCUAGUGGUGGUGUUACACUCAACUCCUUCCCAUUUACAACAAUCUGAACCCUUCACCUCAACCCAACUUUGCAAUGGAUUCCGAUAAACGAAGAAAGGCUUGAGAUGCAAGAGAGUGAUUCUCUCAUGCUCCAAACAAGCAUCAGUAGUACACCAUCUGCAUCCUUCUAACACCAACAACAUUAUUGCCAUCCUAAUAAACUAUAACCAUUUCCACUCCAUCAUCAUCAUCUCUCUGUUUGGUAUAUAUAUGGACCACAAUUCAAGUUUCAUGCUUAUAAUUAUACCAAAUCAAAGUUCAUGUAUCAAAUUGCACAUUAAAUCAAAAUUUAUGUAUACAUUUGAUAUUUAUCUCAUUUAUGGGAGAUUAACUUUCUAAUGGUAUUGUUUUGUUUACAUUAAUCCAAAUAAUUGGAAAUGAUGAAUUAGUUUAACGCAGAUUGUAAUUCUAUUAAUGUUUCUUCUCAAACUUUUGGUUGCUCUUAUUUACAUGUUUUAUUAAUUGAUAGAUUUAAAUUCUUGGAAUAUAUUCUGUUAGAAUUAAGUGCUCCGAAUUCUUAUUUAAAUAAAAUACAGUGUUAAAAUAAAAGAAAAGUAAAAUCCCUAUAGAAUUAUACUUCUUUUAUUUUUAUUUUAGAAUAAGGUUUUUUAAAUCUUUUAAACUCCAUUUAUUUGAUAUUGAUUAGAAUAAAGAGUUUCACUCCUAUUAGAAUAAAGUUUUACAAGCCUAUAAAUAGACAUAGUCUACUCCUCUUGUAAUUAAUUCAAAUUCGACAUAGUGAAUUUUCUUCUCCUCUGCCAGUGGUUUUUUCCCGAAAGGGUUUCCACGUAAAAUUUGUGUGUUCUUUAUUUUUCUAUUUCUAUUUUCUUUGCGAUAUAUUGUCAUUACCGACAUUUAUUUUCACAAAUUGGUAUUCGAGCUUCUGGGUUGUUCAUCUCAAUCACGGUAAUGAUGUCUUUGAAGUAUGAAAUUCUACUGUUGGAUCGCAACACCAGAUUCGCAUUUUGGUAGAUAAAGAUGCAGAUAGUUCUUGCACAGAUGAACUUAGAGGAAGCCCUGCUAAGGUUAGAUAAGAUGCCUUUAACAUUGAUGGAGGAAGAGAAGAAGCACAAGGAUUGAAAGGCGUUAACACAAUUACAUCUGCAUUUGUCUAACAAAAUUUUACAGGAUGUGAUAAAGGAGAAUGCCGCCACUUGAUUAUGGAAAAGGUUGGAACAACUAUGUAUGUCGAAAACUCUAACUAGUAAGCUGCAUAUGAAGCAACGUCUUUAUGCUCAUUGUUUGGAGGAAGGUGCGUCUGUUCAUGAACACUUGACAGUGUUUAAAGAAAUUCUCUCAAAUUUGGAGGCCAUGGAGGUUCAGUAUGAUAAGGAAGAUUUAGGGUUGAUUCUACUUUGUUCGUUGCCCCGUCUUAUUCAACCUUUAGAGAUAAAAUUUUCUAUAGUCGCGAGUCUCUCACAGUUGAUGAGGUUUAUAAUUCUUUAACCUCGUAUGAUAAGAUGAUGCAUCUUAUAGUUAAAACUGACUCUCAAUGAGAGGGUCUCAUUAUUCGUGAGAGAUAAGAUCGGAAUGCUAAUGAUGAUCGUGGAAGGACACAGGAACAGAAUCCUCACAGCAAAUCUAAAAGUAGAUCGAAGUUUUCAAACAGAGGUAAAACUUGUAACUUCUGCAAGAAGAAAUGGCACAUUCAAUCUGAGUGCUAUAAGCUACAGAACAAGAUCAAAAGGGAGACUGUGAAUCAAAAUAGAAAACAACCAAAAAAUUCGGUAAGGCUAAUGUUGUAGAAGACUACAGUGAUGGUGAACUUCUAGUCGCUUCUGUCAAUAAUUUUAAAGUGAGUGAGGAGUGGAUCCUUGAUUCGGGUUGCACUUUCCACAUGAGUCCCAAUAGGGAUUGGUUUACAACUUACGAAAUAGUGUCUGAAGGUGUUGUUUUAAUGGGAAAUAACACUUCAUGUAAAAUUGCAAGUGUUGGAACAAUUAAAGUUAAGAUGCUUGAUGGAGUUGUCAGAACACUUAGUGACGUACGACAUGUUCCAAAAUUGAAGAGAAAUUUAAUUUCAUUGAGUACUCUUGAUUCAAAAGGGUACAAAUACACAGCUAAAAGUGGUGUUUUGAAGAUUUCUAAAAGUUCCCUCAUUGUGAAGAAAGGACAGAGAAAGACUGCCAAGUUUUAUGUUUUGCAGGGUUCUAUUGUUACUGAUGAUGCAGCUGUCGUAUCCUCUUCCUUGUCAGAUGAUGAUAUUGCUAAACUUUGGCAUAUGCGCGUAGGGCAUAUGAGUGAGAAUGACAUGGCAGAAUUAAGCAAAAGAGGACUUCUUGAUGGGCAAUGAAUUUGCAAACUAAAGUUCUGUGAGCACUACAUUUUUGGGAAGCAAAAGAGAGUUUGAUUCACCAAAGGAAUCCAUAACACAAAGGGAAUGUUGGAGUAUAUUCAUUCUGAUCUGUGGGGGUCAUCCAAAGUACCUUUGAGAGGUGGAGCUAAUUAUAUGCUAACUUUUAUUGAUGAUUUUUCUAGAAAAGUGUGGGCGCUCUUCCUGAAGCAGAAAAGCGAUGUGUUUUUUGUAUUGAAGUCUUGGAAAACCAUGAUUGAAAAAAAAAGGGAAAGCAAAUAAAACACCUCUGCACAGACAAUGGCUUAGAGUUCUGUUCUGAUGAGUUUAAUAAAUUGUGCAAGUUAGAAGGGAUCAUGAGACACUUGAUAGUUCGUCAUACUCCACAGGAAAACGGCGUUACGGAACAAAUGAACAGAACGAUCAUGGAGAAGGUUCGAUGUAUGUUGUCAAAUACCAACUUACCAAAGUCAUUUUGGGCCGAAACAGCCUCUACUGCAUUUUUUUAAUCAACUGAUCUCUAUCCAUUGCCAUUGAGAAAAAUACUCCACAAGAGGUAUGAUCUUGUAAUCCUGCUGACUAUUCUGAUUUAAAGAUUUUUUGUUGUCCUGCGUGUGCUCAUGUUGAUAAUGAAAAAUUGGAACCGAGAUCCAUUAAAUUUGUUUUUCUUGGUUAUAAAGCUGGUGUAAAAGGGUAUAAGUUAUGAUGUCCUGAAAAUAGAAAAGUUGUGAUUAGUAGAUAUGUUGUUUUUGAUGAAACUGUUAUGCUACCUAACGUAUCUCUUAAAGAAUCUCCCAAUAAAGAAAAUCAAAAGCAGGUGGAGCAUCAGAUUAAUACAGAAUCUACAAUAGAGUCGACUACUGAAGCCAGUACAAAAAUUUAAAAUAGAGUUGCUCCUUCACCAUAAUACUCUACAUAAUACUCUAUCGCCAAAAAUAGAACUAGAAGAGACAUUAAACCUCCAAAGAAGUAUGUCGAGGUUGAUCUAGUUGCUUAUGCUUUAAAUGUGGCUAAAGAUAUAGAUGCAAAACAAGAGCCAUCUAAUUAUUCUGAGGCGGUUAGUUGUGAAGACUCAGAAAAGUGGAUGUUUGCUAUACAAGAGGAGAUGGAAUCACUCCACAAAAAUAAAACAUGGGAUCUUGUGAAACUUCCUAAAGGUAAAAAGGUUGUUCGUUGUAAAUGGGUGUUUAAAAAGAAAGAAUGGACUCCAAGAGUUGAAGAACCCAGAUAUAAAGCAAAGUUUGUUGCAAAGGGUUACAGUCAAAUUCCAGGAGUGGACUUCACAGAUGUGUUCUCUCCAGUUGUGAAGCAUAGUUUGAUUCGAGCUUUACUUGGUAUUGUGGCCAUACAUGAUUUGGAGCUUGAGCAGUUAGAUGUAAAAAUUGCAUUUUUGCAUAGAGAACUUAAAAAGGAUAUUUACAUGCAACAACCAGAGGGUUUUACAGUCUCAAAAAAAGAGGACUAUGUUUGCUUACUGAAAAAGUCUCUUUACAGUUUGAAACAGUCACCAAGACAGUGGUACAAGAGGUUUGAUUCCUUUAUGACUUCUCAUGAUUUUAAAAGAAGUAGCUUUGACAGUUGUGCUUACUUUAAGAAAAACAAUGAUGGUUCUUUUGUGUAUCCACUCUUUUAUGGUGAUGAAAUGUUGAUAGCAGCGAAAGAUAAAUGAGGGAUAAGAAAGGUCAAAGCCCAACUAAGUGAAGAAUUUGAUAUGAAAGAUUUGGGACCAACAAAGAAGAUACUUGGUAUGGAGAAUCUCAAAGAUAGAAAAGCAAGUAAAUUAUACCUAAGUCAAAAGGGGUACAUUGAGAAAGUUCUUUGCAGAUUUAAUAUGCAGAAUGCUAAGCCUGUUAGUACUCAUUUAGCAGCCCAUUUCAGACUUUCAUCGGCUUUGUCUCCACAAUCAGAUGAUGAGAUUGAGUACAUGUCACAUGUUCCAUACUCUAGUGCAGUGGGAUCUCUCAUGUAUGCUAUGGUUUGUUCACGUUCAGAUUUAUCAUAUGUAGUCAGUGCAGUUAGCAGAUACUUGGUGAAUCGGUAAAGAACAUUGGAAAGUAGUUCACUGGAUUUUAAGAUACUUACGAGGCACUACUGAUGUUUUCUUACAGUUUGGAAAAACUAGAGAUAAAGUCAUUGGGUAUGUUGAUGCUGAUUUUGCUGGAGACUUUGAUAGAAGAAGAUCUCUCACAGGUUAUGUCUUUACAAUCGGAGGUUGUGCAAUCAGUUGGAAAGCCACUUUGCAAACUACAGUUGCUUUGUCUACCACUGAAGCUAAGUACAUGGCGAUUACUGAGGCUUGUAAAGAAGCUAUUUGGUUGAAGGGACUCUUUAGUGAACUCAAUAAAGACCUUCAAAUCAAUACAGUAUUUUGCGAUAGUCAAAGUGCUAUCUUCCUUACAAAAGAUCAAAUGUUUCAUGAGAGAACAAAACACAUUGAUGUUCGAUAUCAUUUUGUUCGUGAUAUUAUUACUUGUGGUGAUAUUGUUGUGAGCAAAAUUAGUACUCAUGAAAAUCCUGCAGAUAUGAUGACUAAGUCACUUCCUAUAACCAAGUUUGAGCAUUACUUAGACUUGGUUGGUGUUCAUUGUUGAAGUUAAACCCUUAAGGGAUUUUAUGGAAUAGGUGGAAAACUUGAUUGUUGAGAGUUUGCGAUGAAGAACUUGUUCAUUAAGAAUUCGUGUCAAUGUGGAGAUUGUUAGAAUUAAGUGACCCAAAUCCUUAUUUAAAUAAAAUACAGUGGUAAAAUAAAAUAAAAGUAAAAUCCCUAUAGAAUUAUACUUUUUUUAUUUUAUUUUAGAAUAAGGUUUUUUAAAUCUUAUUAAACUCCAUCUAUUUGAUAUUGAUUAGAAUAAAGAGUUUCACUCCUAUUAGAAUAAGGUUUUACAAGCCUAUAAAUAGACAUAGUCUACUCCUCUUGUAAUUAAUUCGAAUUUGACAUGGUGAAUUUUCUUCUCCUCUGCCCGUGGUUUUUCCCGAAAGGGUUUCCACGUAAAAUCUGUGUGUUCUUUAUUUUUUUCUAUUUUUAUUUUCUUUAUGAUAUAUUGUCAUUAUCAACAUUUAUUUUCACAUAUUCUAAUUAAUUAGAUAUUUCCUUCCUUCCAAAAGCCUUUCAAAAUAGGUUUAGUUUGACCAAGAUACUCUUGUAGAAAAUUUUAGUUUUGUGGGAAAAAGAAAAACUAGAUUUACUUUUUUAUUCUAAUUGGUUUCAUAUGCAAGGUAUAUAAACUUUUGUGUCGCUUCAAUUUUUUUCCAACAUAUGUAUGUGAUUUGUGGGGUUUCAAUUUUGAAUUUUUUUUAUAAUUUAAUUAAAUUAUGAAAGUAUUUGAAAGUUUUUAAGUUGAUACAAUGUUUAGAACUACCCCAACACCCACCCAAUCCUUAAAUAGGAGGAUAAACAUGCUUCAGCACGCUCGAACUCACAUUCUCCUACAUAUAUGAUAAUACUAAUGCCAACCGAGUUAAGACUCAACUAGUCUUGAAUUUUGAAUUUUACUUCUUAUACAUUUUGAAUUUUGAAAUUUUAAUUUUGCCCAAACAGUAGCAGUUAAAUUAAUUUGAUUAAAUUUAAUUACUAGACCUAUAUUAUGCGUACGAUUAUUGAUUAGUCUAUACUCUCCAAUUGGGCAAUUCUAAGUACCUAUACUUUCUGAAUUUUGAAAUUUCAGUCUUGAUGCAAAUGACAAUUGUUAAUCCAUUAAUUAGAUUUUUAGCGAGUAAUAUGUGAAAAUAACAAACUGGCAUAACAUUACACAUAUGAUAAUAUGUUUAUUGCAAUGCAUUUGAAAAUAGCCGAAUUUAACAAAUAUCGUUAGUGAGGAUUGGAAAUUAGAGUCUAGGGAUUAAAUCCACAAGUUCAGUAAAUUACAAGAACUAAUGGUAGAAUUUAACCUUUAUAUAACCUUUAAAUUCUAACCGUGGUUUGCACACUACUCAGCCGACCAUUGGCUGUGGUGGGAACACAAACUGUUUGAAUUUGACAUCAGUGAUUGAAUUUUCAUAGCUAAUAUGUACGUUCCUUCAAUUUCUCCAUAGGAGGGAGUGGAAUACAUUAUAUAAGGUAAUAUUUGAUAUAUUCGGUAAAUGAAUAAUUGCAAGAUAUCUCAUUAUCUAGUAAAAUAAAUAAUGAAAAUUUUAUAAAUAAAUAUUAAUAAUUUUAUCUAAUAAUAAUUAAUUACUUUUUGGGACAGACUUUUUUUAGCAAAUAGAUAUUUUAUUGGCUGACAAAGUAGUAUAAAAUGAACUCCCACAGUCGCAGCAAACAUUACAACCAAAAGUAUCAGUUAGCUAAUUAGCAAGGGAGUGAGCAAGCCAUUCGCCUCACGAAACACAUUAACAAAAGAUCAAGAGCUUAAUACAGUCAAUAAAUCCAUCGAUUUCAUCGACAACCUUCUAAUACUUCCCAUGUGACAGUCCUUUAUUACUCACCCUUAUAACCCAAGACAAAUAUGACGACAAUUGUCGGAUGCUUUAAAAACUUUUUUCAAAAUACCAUAAUUUUGUACGAAGUAGUUGGAGGAAAUAAAAUAUUAUUACAUAUAUCAACAACGACCUAGUAAGUUGCAUUAACUUUUAGAUGUUGACUAUUGGCUUUUGCAUCAACCUUGAACUUACGUAGGCCCCCUACAGUAAUUUAGGUUAUGGAAAUAAUCUUGCAAAUAAUGCUUGAGACAUCAUUAUACAUCAAUUUACAGUUUUAAUUCUUAUACUUACUCAAUUGGAAUAAAGAUUUAGUUUUUCAUUUUCUUUUGAUACAAUGUCUAGAAUUACCCAUAGCCCUUUUCCAACCUUUAAAUAAGUGAAUAAUGUGCUUCAGCGUACUCGAACUCACAUCCUCUUACAUUGACAACAUUGUUGAUGCCAAUUAGUUAAUGUUAAUGCUAUACUUUAGUUAAAAAUAACUAACAUCAUUAAAAAAUUCAUUAGUUGGCUCAUGUGGAUUUUUUUUUUUCAAAAAAUUUGAAACUAAAAACCAUAAAUUCUUUAAGACUUAAAAAUUAAAAUUAGUGGUUAUUAAAAAAGAGCUAUUUUUUAUUAAAUUAUUAUUUAAAAUAAAUUUAUCUCAUCAUAAUGAUAUGAUUUUUUUUCUUUAAAAAAUCCACAUUAACCGACUAGUAGAAUUGUAUAAAGCUACCACCAAUCUCUUGGCAUGAUGGCAAAAGAUUCAGAGGUAGAGCCAGAAACUUUUUUGAGGGGCGUGAAUAAAGUUUUAUAUUUUUAUAAUAGUAAAAGUGAAAUUUUAUUAUUUUAAUAGUUUAUAUCUUUAUAAUUUUUAAAGGAUUAAAUAAAUUUUUUCUUAUUUUUGAGGGAUAAAGUAUAAGUUUAUCAUAUACUAAUUUUAAAAUUAUAAAAAGACUAAAGGUGAAAAUUUUCAUUUUAGGGGGGUGGGGCCCUGCCAGGUCCCCUUGGCUUCGCCUUGAUAAAAGUAUUAUGUUAUACGUAUAAAGUUUGAAUUUAAUCCCAAUCAAUCUCAUUUCUUAUCCCUAAUUAUAAAAUAAUAAAAUAAAUAGAGUAAUUGAUGUGAGGAGGUAAGUGUAAUAGGCCAAUUUUGACCUGGGCUAGAUUUCAAAACAAAACCCAAACCAAAUAAUAAAAGAGUCCAAGAUAAUUAAAACAAUCAAUUCAUUUUACAAACAAACCCAAAUUAGCAGCCCAAAUACAAAUUAAAACCCAAUAACCCAAAACUAGCCUUAGCCCAAUUAGCUCAACACUUAAACACAACAACAAAAAAACCCUAUCCCCCCAAGCCUCCAACGCUGCGUGACCACCUGCGCCGCACGCCAUCGUUGCCGCUCGAGGCUCGCCUAUCACCGACCAUCCACGCGUCUGACACUUGCAAAACCAAGGCAACACGUAACAACAAAGGCCAAAUAGAGGAAACAACAAGGAAACAUACAAAAAAGGAAGAAACAAAUAGUUUUGAUUCGGCUAUAAAAGCCCGAAUCUCACCCUUGUAAUUUUUUUGCGAACAUUAGAAAAUAAAAAAACAAAAACAACACUUUCAAGGUGAAUUUCUACUUUUAUUUCUAUUUUAAAUACCCAUUUGAUUCUAUAUUCAUAUUUUUAUUUUAUUUUUUUAUAUAUAUACGAAAAUAAUAAAAUAAAAAAAGGAAGAAAGGGCUCACCAGAGACGCCCCAUGACCGUGCCGUCAAAGGGCUCUUCUUCAUUGUUGCCAUCGGAUCUGAGAAGGGGUCGAGAGUCUUCCUCUUUCAUUUUUUUGGGUCGAGAGGGCUGGGCUUCCAAGGGAGCUGCGAAACGGGGGCUAAAAACGCCCUUUUGCGCAACACCGACCACCGCCCACGAUAGCGCUGCAGCGGCGACCAUGGCCGGCCAAGGGGUGGGCUGAGAGAGAGACCAAGAGAGACUGAGAGAGUUUUCUUUUUUUUAGAAAAAUGAAAGUUGAACCGUUUUUUUCUUCUUUUUUUUUGCUAUUUAUAUAGGGUAUAAUACGACGCCGUUUUGGACUUAAACACCAAUGGCCAAAACGACGCCGUUUUGCAUCAGACCCGAAAAUUGACCCGAAUGCGGCCAGGAUCUACGCGUUUUAGCUUUGAGGAGCUAUUUGCAUAUUCAGCCCUUCCGCUUUUGUAGUAUAGUGCAAUCUGGUCCUUGUUGUUUUUAUAUUUUGGCCGCAUAAUUUUUUGAUUGUUUUACUUUGGUCCGAGCUGAAACGCUGCGCAUGGGGGCUGGGAAUAUUGCCCAGUCGGUCCCUCAUUCCUUAAGCGCGCUCUAUUUCAGUCCCUAACAACCUUUUUUUUUAUUUGUAAUUUGAACCCCAAAUUCUGGGUCGAUUUUAGUAUCAUCCUUAGUCCAUUUAAUUUAUUUGUUCAUUAUUUUUUAUUUAAAAAACUCUUUUAUUAUUAUUUGUUUUAAGUUUUUUUAUUUAUCAUUUAUUUUAAAUUGUUUUACAUACUAUUUAUUUAAAAUUUUUAUAUAUUAUUCAUUUUAAACCAUUAUAUGUACAUUAUCUUUUAAAUUUUUAUAUACAUAUAUAUUUUUAAAAAAAACUGUUGUAUUUUUCUUAUUUAUUUAUUUUAAACUGUUAUUAUUAUUCAUUUUAAGUUUUUAUAUACUGUUUAUUUGAAGCCUGUUAUUAUUUAUUUUUGAAUUGUUCUUAUAAAUUAUUUACUUUAAAUUAUUAUUUACUUUGAAAUUUUUUUUGCAUAUUAUUUUGUUUUGUUUUUUUUAUUGUUAAUAUUAGUAUAAAAAAUUAUAUACAUUGUGUGAUUAUUACAGUCAUGUGUACUAUAAUUAGUUUCUUCGUGCUUUCAUAUUAUUAUCACUCAUUAACAUAACAUUUUUUUCAUAAAUUGUUAUUUUAUGUUCUAUGUUAUCAUUCCAUUUCACUUCAUCACUUCGACAGUUGCAUUCAAUUUGUAUUUACCCAUAAUAAACCGUUCUAUUUUGUCACAAAUAAAACAAAUGCACCUCGUUCAAGCAUUGUACUCACAAUUAUUCAAAACAGGGAAAAGUUUUAAAAUAAGGUAAUAUUUCGCGUUUUGGAGAUUCGAGAAAUUAUUCUCUAACUUACAGGGUUUCAAUUUUCUCGUUGAACCUAAAUAGCAAAAUAUCCUUCUAAUUUUCAAAAUUUACGAAAUUCCAAUAAAGUUAAAGGCUAACUUAUUCUCAAGGGUUCGAAGUGUCGUGUCCUAACUUACGGGAUGUGACAUUUAUUAUCUCGAGACGAGAGGAUCUUUGACAUUCGUUUCAAUUUAUUCAAGCAAAUUCUUUUAAAUUAAAAUAGCGUUAACAAAAGGGGGGUCGUGUUUUAAAUUCUUUCGAAGUUUUUCAAUUUUUAACAUUUAGACAUUAAUUAAUCAAUUGAGUACCAAUUUUGGGCGUGACGAGGGUGCUAAUCCUUCCUCGCAUGUAACUGACUCCCGAAUCUGUUUUCUCAAAUUUCAUAGACCAAAAUCACUGUUUUGAUAAAUUAAAAUAUUUUAUUAAAACAACUAAAUUAUGAGGUGACCUAAUCACACCUCAUAAAAAAAAGGAUUGGUGGCAACUCCCGUUUUAAUUUCUAUUUUCAAACCAACGUCGACCCUUUUAAAAAAAUGGCUUCAAUAUUAAGUUAUAAGUUGAAUGAAUUAAAAAUAUGUGAAAAGUGUAAAUAGAGACUCUUCAAUCUCAUUUCCUCUAAUGCUCUUUUUUUAAAAAUUUUUUUAAAAUUUUUUAUGUACCUUUUAAAUAGUUAAUGAAAAUAAAAGUAUUUUGAUAAUUUUCACUUCGAAAUGCAAAAGCCAAAAACAGUUUUUGACUACAAAAGCGGUGUGUUCUUCAUCACUUCUCAGUGGAAAAACACUUCUGCAGUGUAAAAAAACUUUUAACCCAAAACGGCUUUUUCACCACAAUAGAGAAUGCACCCUAAAAUUGUAAAUAGAAAAAAGAAGGAUCAAACAUUGUUUCUACCCUGUUUUUGUCUCCUCUUUGAAAAUACUUUCCAAAAAGUUUUAUCAUUUUUUUUUCUGUUUACAAAUUCCUUAUAGAAGCGCUUUCUUUUGAUCCACUUGCAUCAUUGUAAUAAGUUUGCAUUGCAUUCUAACUUUCUAUGUUGAUUACAGUUUAUUAAGUUUUCUGUUGGAUCUUAUAGUCAAAUUCCUGUACAUCAUGUAUGUUAAUUUGCUUAGCCCUGAUAAAUGUUAGAUAUAGGAUUAUCAGUGUCGAAACCACUUUUUUGGCGGACAAAAAUUAGUUGUUGACUUUAAAAACGAAAAUUGGAGUCGCCAUCGAUCCUUUAUUGGGGUGUGAUCGGCUCACCUUAAAAACGAUUUUGGUCUGCAAAAUUUGAGAAAACAGGUUCGGGAGUCGGUUACGCACGAGAAAGAGUUAGCACCCUCUUAACACCCAAAAUUGGUACCGAAUUAAUUAAUUAAGGUCUUAAUGCCGAAUAUCGAAAAUCCGUGAAGAAUUUAAAAAUACGAUCCUCCCUUUUUGUUAAUGUUAAUUUUAUAAAAGAUGCUUGGAUAAAUCGAAGCGAAUGCUAAAGACCUUUUUGUCUUGGAAUAAUAAAAUGUCACACCCAAUACGUUAGGACACGACAUUUUAGUCCUCGAGAAUAAGCUUGUCUUUUGAUUUUCAAAGCUCGUGCGGUGAAGUUUAAAAAGGAUAUUCAAUUGCUUUAAUUUAGAUGAAAAAUCAGAGCCCAAUACGUUAGGGCACAAUUUCUCAAAAUUCCGAGCAUUGAAUAUUGCCCUUAUUAUUAUUAAUUUUUUAAAUCUUAAUCUCGAGAAAAUGACAUGUCAUAUCCAAUACGUUAGGACACGACGUAUCGAAUUCCCGAGAAUGAGCUUUUUAUUUAUGCUUUAAUUAAAAAAGGAUACCCGGUUUCUUAUUUGGGCUUAGGUCAAAGCUACUGCAUGAUUUUGCAACUGUCAUUGCUUACGACAUCAUUGAAUUUGCUUAAUCUGGUUUGUCUUCUUUUUGGCCAUAUUUUUCGACAGGUAAUGGUGGCUGCCCUAUAAGUCCAUCUGGAGGGUAUUUUGUAUUGUAAACAUCACUUCUCCCAGCUUUUCAAAGAGAAAGGAAGUAACAAUCAUCUUAUCAAGUCUGCGUCUGUUCCAGAAGCUUGAAUUCAAUUGUUCAUCAUGUAUUUACUUCUUGCCCUGUGCUGAUUUAUGCUUAUGGCUUAACAUUCAUCGGCGUAUAUGUUACAGUAUUUGAUUUAUCUAUGGGAUCAGAAAUGCAUUUCCCAAGCUUGUAAAAUGACACUUGCAAGCUGCAAUGCUAUAUUACCAUAUGUAGCUAUGUGAAUAUUUUCGUUUCUUUGAAGUCCCAUGAUCAUGUAAGCCGGCAUCUGAGUUCGAGUAACAUAGGCAAAUAAAAUUGUAAGCUUAUGAGAUUUCUUUUCAUUAAUUAAUCAACAAUAGAAAUUGUAACAACAGAUCGAUUGUGUACAAACACCAAUUUUAAAGCUUUUGCUUUCCAUGAAAGAAUAAAAAAAAACAUAAAAAACGAUAUUCCUCUACUACAACCCCCAAGCUGGGAAUGGUAGAGACCAAUCAGUCAUUUAUUGGAGUUUAUAAUUAAAAAAGGAUACGACGUUAGAACCUAGGGUUAGGUUUACUAUUUUUGGCUUCUGAAAAUGUUAGGGUUUAGGGAGUUGGGCUCAUUUGGGCUAGUGGGUUAGGUCUAGGGUCUGUUUAGGUGUAUUGGGCUCCAAGUUUUUUUUCUGAUUUGGGCUUGUAUUUAGGUUGUUUGGGUUUAAUUGGUUUAUUUGGUACGGGCCCGGGCAAAUUUGGGCUUCUACAUAUUAAUCUAAAUAGGUAAUAGAUAUAAAUUACGUAUUAUAAAAGAAAACUAUUUAAAAAGGGUAAAUUCUAUUGGAUUAACAUAAAAAUAUAAAAUAAUUCAUUAUGAAAUUAAAUAAUAAUAUAUGAUAAUAAUAUAAAAAAAAACUUAAAAUAAUAGUGCAUAAUAGAAUAAAAUAAUGAAUAUAAAAAGGUUAGAUAAAUUGAUAAAAAAAUAAUACUAAUAAUAAUAGUAGUAAUAAUAAUAAUAAUAAUAAUAAUAAUAAUAAUAGUAAUAAUGAUAAAUUAAUAUUAAAGUAAUUAAUUUGAUAGCAAAAAUAAUAAAAGAGAUUACUAAUUUGGAAUUAAAACAGAAAUUUAGGGGUAAGACGUGCAAUAAAAUGAAAUAAAAAGGACCUAAUUGAAAUUAAUUUAAAAUCAGACGUGACUAGCACAGAAAUUAAACGCACAAGUCUCACCUGGCAAUCUAGUAAGAUCAUCGGAAACGGCGUCGUUUCGAACGUUUGUCUCCUCAACUGACAGAAGGACGAAAUUGAAAGCAAGAUCGAAUUAUGUGGCAAAAUUAAAAAAGACAAAGAAGGAUUAAAAUGAAGUAAAUCUAAAAACGGAAGAACCAAACACGAAAAUAAGCCAUUGAAACAAAACACGCGGAUCCUCCCCGGGUCAAAUCGGAUCAUCGGGUCAACCAACACGGAGACGUUUUGAAGCCAUUAAAUCGGGCUUAAACGGCACCGUUUUAUUAUCGUUAAAAAACUAAAAAAAUAAAACCCUAAUAAGUUGUUUUGCAUUCCUAAAAAAGAUCAAGAGCCUAGCCUUUCUUCCCACCGGUCUCCAGUCACGAACCCAAUCUGACUCCGAUUCAGACGGAGCAAACCAGGUUCCAAUGGCGUCUGCUCUGGUAAGACGCUUCUUCUCUCCCUCUUUUUAUUUCGUUUGGUGCCAAAGAAGAAAACAAAGAAUCAAAGAAAUAAAAGAGAAAAAAAACGAAGAAAAUCACCUUUCGAAAAAACUUUCUGUUUUGAUUUUUUGUUUGUAUUCAAUAUGCGUAAAAAAGGGUUACAAUGGCCUUCUCCCUCUUUAUAGCCGAAUAUUCGAAAUAAAAUGAAAGAAAAUACAAAAAAUUCUCUCUGCUGCGUUGUUUUCGUCUUCUUUGCAGGUAAGGAGGCUAGCUGGCGUAAGGAGGUGGUGGAUGUGGCACAGCACACGCGGGGAAGGCCCUGGUGGCUGCGGCGCCGGAAGGAGGGCUGUUGCAGCUAGGGUUUUCUGAUUUUUUUUGUUUUGGGCUAGGGUUGUGUUGAUAGUUGUAUUGGGCUAGGUAUUUGGGCUGGGUGUAGUUGGACUAGAUGCAUCUGACUUUGGGUUUGUACCGGGUCACUGUAAAUGGGUUUGGUUUUUUAUUGUUAUUGGGCUGUGAACUAUUUGAGUUUUAAUUAAUUUUUAUUUAUUUGGUUUUUUAUUGUGGGCUGGGCAAAUUGGGUAUUACAAUCAGCUAAUUAGGAAAGACUGUGAUGAUAGUCACACCUUUCGUCCAAAAGCAAAGCUUUUUUUACAUGUGUAUGUAAGGUUGCUAAGCAAAUCGGGUGAGCCUUCACUACUGUUUUAAGGUUAAGUUAAUGUUCCUUUUCGGCAAAGAACAUUAUCGAGAUCACGGUAUUUUGAUCGCCUUUUGCUUCUUGUUAUUCGUUCUGAGACGAUUGCAUAAUCUUUACUGUGAUUGCAGGAUAUAGAGCAACUUUUGAAUUUCAUCGCUGUAAAGAGUUUAGGACCACGACAUGUUCUUGCAAAUUUGAAGAAGCUUCUAAGGUCUGUCCAGUCUUCAGAAUAUAUAGAUACCUGAAUUAAUUUUGAUUUUGUAGGAUCAACUAUAAUUAGCUACUUAUUACACUAUGAAUAGACAACCUCACCUUCUUCACACACUACACGUGCGGAUUUUUUACCAAUCCCAUUUCAAAGGAUCACACUUUUUUGUUGUUUACAGAAUCAUAAUUAAUGUUAAUUAAAGUGGAAUAUUUCAGAUUUCUGAUGAUGAGCAUAUUCUUGAGUAUUGCAGUAAAAAAAUGGGUGGGGAACUUAUUUGAACUUUGAAUGUAUGUUUUGUUGGUGAGAAUAUAAAGUUGAUAAAGAUUUGGUAAAUAGAAUAAAAUAUUAUUUUUUAUUAGAAAAAUUAUUUGGUAGACUGCCAAUCGAGUUAUAAUUAUCAUGACGCAAUAUUAAGGGUAAGUAAAACAUGUCAUAUUACAAAUAAUAAAAUUAUAAUGACUCAAAUAUACGAACAUGUCAAAAUUUAUGUACAACGAAUUAUUAACAUGUCAAUGUAUAAUAUGGUACGCAAAAAUAAGAUAAUUGCUUGUUUUUUAAUUGAAUUGUUAUAACACAUUAUACAAAUACAUUGUGAAUUAAAGCAUAAUAUGAACAUGAUAUCAAUAUAUUAAAUUUUUUAAAAAUUCGAUGAUACGAAUAAUUAUGUAAAAUAUCACAUGAUACAAAAUGACUUGAGAGGAAAAGAGGAACAAAGACUUGCAUUGUUUGUGAGGUUUUAAAAUAUUCCAGUUUUAGAUUCAAUUUUUUAGUAUGUUUGGUUUAAUUUUACAUUAGAUUUCCUUUUCGGUAUGCAUUAGUGAACUCUUGGCAGUCAAUUUAAUUUAAUUCAAAGAGAUAUUGCAUAUACAUAAUAAAUUUCGUAGAAGAAAAAAGAAAUAGAUGGUUGGAAAUGAUAAAACCAUAAGAUAAAAGAGCCUUUAUUCAAAAUGCAAAAAUCAACAAAAUAUUCAUUAUCGCUCAACUUAGCAUAAUUAAACAUUUAGGUGUGGAAAUCAAAUCACAAUUUGAGUAGCUAAACACAUUGCUUGAAAAUGUGAUAAGUAAGAAAAUUGCCCACAUUUGAGUAGCGACAGGUGGUAAUGCAUUUCCCAACAAGAGAAAACCAAGCUCUUCGCCAGUGUGGAUUUAUGUAGAGGACAACAAAAAUUGUCAACAACACAACUACAUAAGAAACCAAAAAGCUCACACAAAAAUCAUAAGUAUCUAUCAAACCAUCUUCUCCUUUAUCUUCUGAUACAGUUGAUAUCGUUGAUGGUGAAUCGGUUUUGGAACAACUUUUAUGCAAUAUAACUCCACAAAGAAACGGAUUUCCCUGAUAACUAUUUUCAAUAAAGGUCCCAAAUUGAGCUUUUGGUUCGGGAAUACUACCUGACAAGUUGUUAAAUGCCACGCUGAAAACCUCCAAAAAGUUUAACUCUACCAAUUGAUUGGGAUUUCACCACUUAAGUUGUUGUAAGAAAGGUCCAAACUCUCAAUUUGAUGUAGUUUUGAGAGUGACGAGGGUAUAACUCCGGUCAACUUAUUGUGUGAAAGGUUUAAAGAAUGGAUUUCACUCAAGUUCCCUAAUUCUGGUGGGAUAUGACCAGUUAAGUUGUUGCGAGAUAAAUCAAUCCCAGUCAUAUAUGAAAGGAUGUCGCCCUUGUAUGAAUAGAACCCACUCUUUGUUGUGAACUCUAUUACUUCUUCGAAGUAGCUACCAGGAUAGUAAGAAUCCAUUCCCAAAUUUAGUAUAUACUGCGUGUUGUUUCAUCCUCUUCCUAUAGAUGGCCCAUAGAACCCAGUUUCUAGAAAUCUUCUUCGUUUGCAUUGGAAGAGAUAAAUUUCCCAAACAAGAAGGUAUAGGACCAGAAAACAUAUUUUGAGAAAGAUCUAUGAUGCUUAAAGAAUGCAACUUGCAUAACUCAAUAGGAACUUUACCAUGAAAUGAUUAUCUUUCAAGAGAAGAACACUCAAAGAAGAAAGCGUGUAAAUCCAUUUUGGAAUACUACCUGUUCAAAUUGUUUCCUCUAAGAUCUAAAGUCACUAUUGAAGAGCUAUUAUAAAAAGCAAGUGAUAGUGGGCCUCUCAGUCUAUUCCCGUGGAG